AUGCAGGAGCUGCACCGACGACAUGUGAGCGAUUAUGCAGCCUGUCCGAUGCGCGGAAACGGAGAUGAAAGUCUCUAUCACUGUUUGAUAACAUGUGAUCACGCCAAGCUGUUUUGGGUGGAGGCAGAAACUGUAUUUGCUGUCAAGGUGCCCCGACUCCAUCCACACACUUGGGCUACUGAUUUGCUGGAUGCUAGGUUGGUACCAAAGAAAGAUGCAGCGAUUGGCAUAACGGUGAUGUGGGCUAUUUGGAGCAGCCGGAACAGGUUCACUCACCAUGAAGAAAGAUAUCAACCCAAGCGAUCCAUGGAGGUCAUUUUUGAAAUUGUGAGGACACUGGAGCUUCCCCCCACGACACAUACUACGGCUGUUCACGAGCAGCAGAGAUGGGAGGCGCCGACGACCGGGGUUGUCAAGCUGAAUGUUGACGGCGCAGUCGACACGGCUAGCGCAAAAGGUGGCACAGGCGUAGUUGCCCGUAACAGUGAAGGCAACCUGCUAGUGUCGCGGUGCACUGGCUACCAAGGGGUGGUUGAUCCCCUAACUGUGGAGAUUUUGGCCUGCAGAGAUGCUACCUUGCUUACGAGGGAGAAGAACUAUCAGAAUGUGAUAGUCGAGACAGAUUGCCUCAAUGUUGUUCAGCUCUGGGAAGGAAGGCUGAGAGGUAAAUCGAAGGGGUUCCAUAUCUUUCAAGAGAUGCAGGAGGAGAUGCCGUUUUUUCAGGGAUUUCAGCUUCGUUAUGCUAGCCGUCUAGUAAAUUCUGUUGCUCAUACUUGUGCUAAGGAAGCUUUAUUGGUAGAGAAUGUUACUACCUACUCUAAUGUAAUCCCUGGAUUUCUGAGAUGCGCUGUGCACUCAGAUUUGCUACCGCUGAAUGAAUAA
rnacentral:rRNA from 1 species